GCCUCCCCACCCUCUCUCUAUCUCUCUCUAUCUGCUUUCCCCUCUCUCUAGAACAAAACUGCCGCCCCUCUAUCAUUUUCCCACUCCGAUGGACGGUUGCUGUCGCCGCCCCACCAUUUUUCUUCCUCAUCUCUUUCCUCCGUCUCCCAGCCACCGGUCAUCAGUACUGCCACUAUCGCACCGUCGUCGUCGCUCUUCACUUCUAUCACUGCCUCCGUGUCACCAGCUGUCAUACAACACCGCCGGACGCCGACCAACUCGUCUCCCUCUUCACGCUAUUAGUCGCCUCCUUUCCCAACGGCACCAACGACGAUAAUACUAUCACCAUCCGACGACACCAGUCAACAACCAAGGAAACCCAUCGCCCCCCGUUAUCUGCAUCUCUACCACUGGUCAGCCUCAAAACCCUUCUCCCAUUACCAUUUUACGACCAUGCAGUCACAAGUUUAUAUUAUUUUGCCUCACCGGAGGUCAUGACUGGUGAGGUAUCAAUUGGUAACCCCUCUAACUAUGUUUGAUCAAUAGACACCAUCACAGGUUCCGUCCAUUAUUAAUUUUAUAUUAGUCUUUGUUUAAUCUUACUCUCCGUGAUCUAAAAUCGACUAACACGGCUGAUGUUAUUGAUUUUGAUAUUGAUUUCUGUGAUUCGGGCUCACUGGAUCUCACAUACAUGAAGUUGGUGAUACUUAACUAGGCUACUAGUUGUUUUUCUAACUCUUGGAAUCAUUAUAUUUUGUUUGAUUGGUUUGACAUUGAUAAACUGUACACUUAGUGUUGGAAAAAAUGAUUAACCUUGUUUUUACUCUUGACUAAAGAUUAUGGAACUGAUUGCACAUGUAAUUUGGAUGACUUGAUUAUUUGAAUUGAUUGGAUGCAUAAUCAACAUUAGUGAUUAACGAACAUGCUUAUAUGAUUAGCCACCUUUAUAUUUUUAUUUUAUUUUAUUCUUUUACGGUAAUUAGCAGUCCUUUCUCACAACAUCAGACGUGUUUCAUAUGCCUAUUUGUGGUAACCACAUAAUUGGUGUGCCCGAUCAAAAUAAAAUUGAUUUGUUUAACGAAUGUUUUCCUUUUAUUUGUUGUCACGACCCGAAUCGGGGCCCUGGCCAUGACGGACAUCCCGAACCAUGAAGGCCCAAGAGCCCUUCUAACUUGUAAUCAUACACACCAUUCAUAUACAAAUAGGAAGUGCGGAAAAUAAAUACUGAAAUGGAAUCAUGGUCAUAAGUCUAAACUCAAUUUAUAAUGUGAAAGUAAAGCCCAACAACAACUAGACAAUGUCGGAACCAGACUGCGAAAUCUCUACUACAUCUGAAAAUAACAACUGUCAGAAACUGGGAUAAGGCCCCCAGUGGACCUAAACCAAAAUAAAUAACAUAAUCUGAAAGACAUAGACCUUCUGGAAUAAAGAAGGCUCACCAAUUGCACACAUCACUGUUGUCUGAAAACACUACGGCUUAGCAGGGCUUCUGAACUGAGCUUUAGACCCUGGAGGUAGGGGGUCAAUACAAUUGUACUGGUAGGCAGAGCAAUCCAAAAUAAAUAUUUUAUAUAAAUAAAAUAGUUAAGAGCUAGUCAUAAACAUCAUGAAAGAUAUAAUUUCUAAACACAUGGGCAUUUUUGAAAACAUAAAACCUUUCUGUUAUUGCAGUUUCUGAUCUUUGUUUUACUUCUAAGUUAGGUGGCACUCCCCUACAAGUCUGAUAUUCCACGGGCUAUGUGGAAUCCUCUAUUGACUCGGCGAGGAAGCCCCCAACCCAAAUGUGCUGCAAGGGUUGGAGUGUCUGAGUCUGAUACACCACAGGGCACCAGGCCAACGUAUAAUAAUAUACCUGGAUCGGCAAAUCACGAUUUUUAGGCAAUGAGUUGUCUGAACUCGUUCCUUCUUCGGGGAACCACCUAAGCUCUCUUUAUGCCCAAUUUAUGUUUAUUCUGAAACAUGCAUCAUUCUAGUUUCAAAAUCUAAAUCUGAUUUCAAACAUACAUUCUAUUCUGUUCUAAAUUACAAUGGCAUUAUCUGAGUUGGUGUCGUCACACCAAGACUUGCAAGUCCUAUUUCUAAGCCAUAAUGCAUCAUGCAUGAUUCUUUCAUCAAAAACUCAAUUCAGACCACCCAAACUUGCAAAUAGUGUAAGAGAUUUCAUGUUCCGAAAGCAUAAGUCAAAACUAUGCAAGGAUUAUCAUUCUUUCAAUAACAAUGUGGUGGUCAUGUAAUCUUUAACAAACCAUGCAACUCUUUUCAUUAUAUGAUUAUGUUUAACAUUCAUCAAUAUAAAUAACCCUCUCUUUUAAAAUCAAAAUUAUAAUCCAAAUAGAACAUUACUCAAGACAUUUCAUAUCAUGCUUUCCAAGAUGCAUUCAAAACAAAUCCUAGCAUAUCAUAAGUAAAGGAAAAUCAUAACAAGAGAGGGAUUUUUCAUGAGUCAUGCUCUCAAUUCAAUCAUCAACCUUAAAACACAUGCUUACAUAUAUAUAUAAUUUCAAAUAAAUUUGGGGGAAGGCCUAAAGAUCAAAACAAUAUCAUCAAGGUUUCUAAAACAUGUUUAUAAUUAUAAAUCCAAAACCCUUUUCUUAAAAUCAUGAUUUCUAAACCUUUUGCAUAAUUAAAAGAAGAUUUUUAUGCCCAUGAGAUUUUAGGAAAACCCCACUACCUUAAAUUAGAAGUUUUUGAUGAACUUUAGCUUUUGGGAUGCUAUACGUACGAUUGAUGGGUGCUUCUUGUAGCCCUCGUAAUGGGGAUUCCGAAUCUUGAAGAAUUAAGGAAAACCCAUGAUUAAAUCUUGAGAUAUAUUGAUCUUUGGUUUGAAACCCUAAGGAGUAUUCUUGGUGAUUUUGAGAGAAAAUAAUAUUAUUUUGGUGUUUGGAGGAUUUAAUCCUGUGUUAUGGCUGAAUAGGGGAUGGAAAAUACCACUUUUCCCCUUAAAAACGCAAAAAAAGUACCUAGAAAUUGGGUUCGUGCAUCGCACGCUAAUCGCGCGAUGCUACUGUCUCAAUCACAAAAAUGGCCAUAACUUUUUGCUUGGGUAUUGGAUUUUGGUGAAAUUGGUAUCGUUGGAAAGCUAAUCCGAUGAGUUUUCAUUUGAUAUAUAGUAGGACCUCUAAUUCCUUAUAUACAAAGAGUUAUGGUCAAUUUAAAUUGACCCAAGUUUCGACGCUCACUCAAACUCAAACGAUAGGAAAGCUUUCAACUCGUCCUUGAGUUUGGGGACCUCUAUGAUCUCAAUUCAUGCUCAAAUAGGUUCCCACACUACAUAAUUGAUUAACAUGCAAAAUUUGCAUUGGAUUUAUGGCUUUUGGAUCAUCUACUCAUAAAAACGACGGUUUUUGUUCUAGCUCGAAAUGCGGGGUGUUACAUUAUCUCCCCCUUGGGAUCAUUCGUCCCCGAAUGAUGGGUAGGAAUGUUGAAGUCUUAAAGGUAUGGAAUAAUAUGGACAUUAUAUGUCUUCUAAGAAGGGAUAUAGCUAAGCUGAAAUAUUUAUACUUCUAUCAUGAAACUGAAUUCUGAGCUGACUUGAAUUUACUUGCUUUAAGGAGCUGAUUCAUGCUGAGAGUUUCGAAUUCCCUUGAAGUGUUCAUGAUCAAAUCAUACAUAUUGAAUUGAUAAGUGAUAACUUAUGCAAGUAUGAAUCAUGAGACAAAUGGACUUAGAUCGUAUCAGGGUAUUACACUGUCUGAGCUAAAAUACUUGGGAAAAUUUGAGAUUGUGCGCUGAACUCUUAUGAACUGAGUCAUGACUAAAUAGCUGAAUCUGAAACAUGAUGCUUUGACUGAACUGAAUUCGCAACUUAUAUGGAUCGAAUAGAUUAUCUCUUGGGAUGGUCAUACGCCUGAAACUUCGGAUAGUAGGACUAGCUGAAAAGGUGGAAAACCACCGUAACUUGUCUGCCUGACUGUUAAACUGAAUUAUACUGGACACUUAUACUUAACUGGAGUAUCUCUUAAACACUCUUUAUAAAGAGGGAGCAAAGAAUCUCUGACAUGAGUUACACAAGACAUCCAACUAAGGAAUCACGACAAUGAUACUACUCUAUAGCAUGGAAUAUAGAUAUACAACUCAUAAAUUUGGAUAGAAUUACCAGGCCUUAGGCAAUACAACUUCUUACUUUCAAGCUUAGCACACCGCUCGAAUAUCCCUUAACUAUACUAUUCUCCUUAAAUACCAUACUCAUUUGAUUCAAUUUAUUUUUCUCACAUAGCCACUGAUAUUUCCAUCUACUAAUGUCUAAACUGAACUAAAUCCCCUCACCAUCUUCAAGCCUAACUCAAAAUCACAAGACGCACCACAUAAUACUGUAGUACUAGUAUGAAUCAUGAAUUCAGUACACCCUGCAUUUCACAAUUCCUCAUUUCCUGCAUAAUUCUUAUUGCCACUCCAACAAUCACCUUCAACUUCGUAGUAGACAUUCACAAACACUCAAAGUAUUCAUUCGUAUGUAUACAAACAUAACAUUCAAGCCUAUCUUCAUACUCAUAUAUGCACUUCUAAACAAACACUCAUAAAAAAUCUUUCUCAUAUUCUCUAAUACUUCUAUCCAUAACAACUUCCCUGCACUAUUCAGAUGAUACACAUAAAAUAUCCUCAACUAACCAAGCCAUACAAAAAACUUCAUCUCAAAAUUCUUUCAACUUAUAGACUUACAUAAAACAAGCACACAAUAAUUUUUCCCAAAUAUAACACAUAAACCUUCAACUAACCUUGACAUGUAUCAAAUACUUGGCCUCAAUCUUACUCNNNNNNNNNNNNNNNNNNNNCAAUAAGAAAUGCUUACUCUUUCCCAUCUAGACAACUGUUCAUCAUCACUAUCUCGACCUAAGGGAAAAGGUCACUGAAAAAUUAGAAUAUCGGGAUCUGAAGCAUGAGGAGAGUACUAAGCAUAACUUAAUACCCUACUGAGGCGUGAGGAAUAGAGCACUCACAACAUGGACUCAUUAAAGAGAUCUAGUCUGAGGACAUACCUGAUAUAAAUCUGAAUUUUCACUAAUCGUUAAGAGUAUCACAUGUGCACAAGAGUCAUGAACUGCAUGACCUGAAUUCUUGGAAUUCUUAACUUACGGAAAGUGAUUCUAACUGCUGAACAAAUUGGGAACUCAUAUACUAGGACUAGGAGAGUACAUGAUUGCUUAUCAUAUACAUGAACACGAGCUAUGAUCAUGAAGUUAAAACAUAAAGCAUGAGUAUGUAUCGGAAUAACUGAAGUAAACUACUGAAAUAAGAAUAGAUUGAGCAUCAUUCUUUCUCACGGCCAAUUCCACAACUUUACUGGCAUAUCUAUUAGCAUCUAAUAACUUGACUUGGUUACUCAUUUUAUUAUCUCCCCCUUAUAUUUAAGUUAUUACUCUAAGUCUGUGAACCACUAUAUACACUUUGGUAUAAACUGAAAUCACUUUAAUCUAAAGUCGGGGAUAUAACAAUACACAUAAAACUAAACUUACCCUGUAAGACGAUAUCUUCAUGUAUAACAACCAAUGCUAGUACCUCCUACUAAGAUUCAACCCUUAGGUUUCUAUAGCCCCAAAAGUCAUCAUAUAACAGCUUAAACAUUCACCAACUUAGAUUCUUCUAUUACUAAACAUGGAUAUCUCCAAACCUUUGACGGACCAUACCACUUUGGUCAUAGCCUACCAGCAUUAUGCUUGCAAACUUAUAUUUCUAAACCAUGAGAAUCAAGAUUAUACGAAAAAUCUCAACAUCAUUAAUCACAACUCUAUAAAUUAGCUAUAAAGAACAUCACGUAUUAUCUAACUAGUCUUUCUCCACCUAGCAACUCAACGGUACUACUAACCACACAACAAGCAAUGAUCCUUGAAAAUAAUGCAGCCCCAUAGCACCUUGGGCAUACUUCUACAUCAUACUUACCACAUCAGACUUGAUUACAAAUCAAAUAAACUUAAGCUUUUGUAUACAUUGUUCAAGCCUAAUAGAUCACUUUCACACAACUAACACCCGCCACAUCAAUUCAUCAAAUCCAUCUUGAUCACCAUCGACUAUUCCAACUUAGUGUCUAGUUCUAGUUAUGAUAAACCACUACUUCACACAAUUUUCUUACAUGCCAAACAUCUGAAAACAUUAAUUCUCUAAAACUUCAUAACAGUAAGGAUCAAUCACAAUCCUAUGAUCUAUCUUAUUUAAAAUCCAUUAACAUAUCCUCCUUCUAUACACCAUUACUAUCUACCCCUUUCAUAUAGCUAAACUUAGUUCAUAACUCUAUAAGUCCCAACUAAACUCCUUCUUGCAACCUCAGGGACAUCUAAAUUAACACUACUCAUCCACUAAGUACCUUCAUCAAUAACCUAUAAUUUUCUUGCACGACAAACACCAUCAACAACUCUUUUCAUAGUUCAAGUAAACAAUAAUUCACCUUAACUAAUAACUCCUUCUCUACCUUACCUUCUACUAAACCAUCACAAAGGGACGUAUUACUUCAUUACCAACUUAAUCUCAUGCAAAAAAAUUCAGCCAUAAUAUAUUCAAUAAAUCUCCCUUACCACUUUUGUUGCCAUUACGCCACUAAACCCCAGUUCCAACCAACACAAGAACAACAAGAUCAACAACAAGUUGCUAGUGAAUCAAAAUAGGCCCUACACGGCUCCACUAGACUUUGAUUUUGUGUUUUGAAUAAGAAAUGAGAUGAAUGACAAGGCAACUAUGCUAGUGAAUCGAAAGAGCCCCACACGGCUUCACUAGACUUUCAGUUUCAACAACACAAUGAUAACAAGAUUACAAGAGAUAGAAACUUGACACACAAUAUUCAAUGAUCUAAGAAUACACAUCUUACUCUGUAUAAAUAAAAAAAUCUGAGUCAAACACUUCCUCCAAAGACUAUCAUACAAUCCACACAUGCUACUAGCUACCACAUUAGUCUAUCACUAUAAAAUGGUAAAUCAUUCUCAAACAUCAUUUAUUCAACUUAACAUAUUUAUAUACACAAAAGUCACCCUUACUCUAAUUUCUAACCUUGCGACUUAACAUCCCAACUUCUUAGUCCAAUAUCACUACCAAUAGGUCAUGACACCAUCACUUUAACUUAUACUACUACUCGGGUAGAAAUACAAUUCUAACAUUCUGCUACACAUCUUCCCUUUGAAGCAUGACGUCUGCAACAUAAAUUUUGAAAAGGACUAAAUACACUUAAUACUGCAGCUAAAAAUCAUGAUUUCAUCAGAAUCAAAGUUCACACUAUAAUCAAUAUACCAUGGAGUACUAACGGACUCUUCUCAAAUCCUUGCACAAAUUUUAAACUCUUAUAUGGCUUAAUCAGAAAGGACCAUACCAUUUAGACUCUAAAAUUCUGCACUUGAAUCACCCCAAUAAUGAGACAUAUCUGAGCACAUCAAAGUAAGGAAAGAAUUGGGAUGAAUUUACUCCUGUAUGGGUGAUACCAUAGCAUAAAUUAGAGUAUGUAAGAGGAACAUUCUAACUCCAUAGCACGAACUAGAAUAUGAAGAAAGAGAUACAUUCCUAAAUGCUUUGUAGCCUCCUACCUAUAAGUGUGGCACGCUACACACCUAUAAAUAAGACUCUACUCGAUGUGAGCAGACACCCUGGGAUCAUGAAUCGUGCUCUGAUACCAAGUUUGUCACGACCCAAACCAGGGCCCUGGCCAUGACGGACAUCCCUAACCAUAAAGGCCCGAGAGACCUUCUAACUUGUAAUCAUACACACUAUUCAUAUACAAAUAGGAAGUGCAAAAAAUACAUACUGAAACGGAAUCAUGGUCAUAAGUCUGAACUCAAUUUAUAAUAUAAAAGUAAAGCCCAAUAACAACUAGAUAAUGUCUGAACCAGUCUGCAAAAUCUCUACUACAUCUGAAAAUAACAACUGUCGGAAACUAGGAUAAGGCCCCCAGUGGACCUAAAUCAAAAUAAAUAAUAUAAUCAGAAAGACAUAGACCUUCUGGAAUAAAGAAGGCUCGCCAAUUCCAAACAUUACUGCUAUCUAAAAACUCUAUGACUUAGUUGGGCUUCUGAACUGAGCUUUAGACCCUAGAGGUAGGGGGUCAAUACAAUUAUACUGGUAUGCAGAGCAAUCCAAAAUAAAUCUUUUAUAUAAAUAAAAUAGUUGACAGCUAGUCAUAAACAUCAUGAAAGAUAUAAUUUCUAAACACAUAGGCAUUUUUGAAAACAUAAAACCUUUCUGUCAUUGUAGUUUCUGAUCUUUGUAUUACUUCUGAAUUAGGUGGCACUCCCCUACAAUUUUGAUAUUCCACGAGCUAUAUGGAAUCCGCCAUUGACUCGACGGAGAUGUCUCCAACCCAAGUAUGCCGCAAGGGUUGGAGUGACUGAGUCUGAUACGCCACAGGGCACUAGGCCAACGCAUAAUAAUAUACCCAGAUCGGCAAAUCAUAGUUUUUGGGCAAUGAGUUGUCUAAACUCGUGCCUUCUUCGGGAAACCAUCUAAGCUCUCUUUAUGCUCAAUUUUAGUCUAUUCUAAAACAUGUAUCAUUCUAGUUUCAAAAUCUGAAAAUCUGAUUUCAAACAUGUAUUCUAUUCUGUUCUAAAUUACCAUGGCAUUAUCUGAGUUGGUGUCGUUAGACCAAGACUUGCAAGUCCUAUUUUUAAGCCAUAAUGCAUCAUGCAUGAUUCUUUCAUCAAAAAUUCAAUUCAGACCACCCAAAUAUACAAAUAGUGUAAGAGAUUUCAUGUUCCGAAAGCAUAAAUCAAAACUAUACAAGGAUUAUCAUUCUUUCAAUAACAAUAUGGUGGUCAUAUAAUCUUUAACAAACCAUACAAGUCUUUUCAUUAUAUGAUUAUGUUCAACAUUCAUCAACAUAAACAAUCCUCUCUUUUGAAAUCAAAAUCAUAAUCCAAAUAGAACAUUACUCAAGACAUUUCAUAUCAUGCUUUCAAGAUGCAUUCAAAACAAUUCCUAGCAUAUCAUAAGUAAAGGAAAAUCAUAAAAAGAGAUAGAUUUUUCAUGAGUCAUGCUCUCAAUUCAAUCGUCAACCUUAAAAUACAUACUUACAUAUAUAUAAUUUCAAAUCAAUUUGGGGAAAGUCCUAGACCAAAACAAUAUCAUCAAGGCUUCUAAAACAUGUUUAUAAUCAUAAAUCUAAAAUUCUUUUCUUAAAAUCAUGAUUUCUAAACCCUUUGCAUAGUUAAAAGAAGAUUUCUAUGCCCAUGAGAUUUUAGUAAAAUCCCACGUACCUUAAAUUAAAAGUUUUUGAAUGAACUCUAGCUUUUGGAAUAUUAUACGUACGAUUGAUGGGUGCUUCUUGUAGGCCUCGUAAUGGGGAUUCCGAAUCUUGAAGAAUUAAGGAAAACCCACGGUUAAAUUUGGAGAUAUAUUGAUCUUUGGGUUGAAACCCUAAGGAGUGUUCUUGGUGAUUUUGAGAGAAAAUAAUAUUAUUUUGAUGUUUGAAGGAUUUAAUCCCGUGUUAUGGCUGAAUAGGGGGUGGAAAAUACCACUUUUUCCCUUAAAAACAUGAAAACAGCACCUGGAAAUGGGGUCCAUGUGUCGCACACUAAUCGCGCGAUGCUACUGUCUCAGUUACAAAAAUGGCCAUAAUUUUUUGCUCGGGUAUCGAAUUUUGGCAAAAUUUGUAUCGUUGGAAAUCUAAUCCAAAGAGCUUUCAUUUGAUAUAUAGUAGGCCCUCUAAUUCCAUAUAUACAAAGAGUUAUGGUCAAUUGAAGUUGACCCAAGUUUCGACGUUCACUCAAACUCGAACAAUAGGAAAGAUUUCAACUCGUCCUUGAGUUUGGGGGGACCUCUAUGAUCUCAAUUCAUGCUCAAAUAGGUUCCCACAUUAUAUAAAUGAUUAACAUGUCAAAUUUGCAUAGGAUUUAUGAUUUUUGAAUCAUCUAUGCAUAGAAAUGAUGGUUUUCAUUCUAGCCCAAACUACGGGGUGUUACAUUUGCUUUGACUAAAUUUGAUAUUAUAAGUGUGAUUUUAUAUUCAUGAAAAACUCCAUUGAUUGGCUUCAUCAAAUAUUCUCCUCUUCCUUAAUUGAUUCCGACUGAUUUUUUGAAUAUCUUUUUCCUUUUCUGUUGCUACUAAUUAACACUCUUGUAUUUUCUUUCCUUUCAAUCCUCAAUACCCCUCUACUAUAUAAACAAUCCUUCUUUUCAAAUUAAGGGACAGUUCUUGAAAAAUAAAACACUCCCUAUAAGAAAAUCACUAGCUAUUUUGAUUACAUAUUCUUAAGAGUCCUUUGAUUUUCUUGGAGGCUUACUAGAAUCACCACAUAUUAUUCUUACAAGUGCUUGUCUUCAUUAUUCUUAUUAUUUAUUUUAUUGCUUCUUAUCGGUAAUUAAAGGUAUUAAGUUGGCCGGGCUGGGUCAACCCAGAACCGGCCCGUGAAUUUUAACCGGGUUGUGGGCCGAUCCGGAUCCGGAUCCAGGCAUUGUUAAAUGGGUCAGUCCGGUUUCGGGCCCAACAAUAAUUUUUUUUAAAACAACUCUGAAAUGGCCCACUUCAACUAACCUGGUCCAAUCCACCUAAACUCGGUCAAAACCGAUUCAAAAUUCGAUAAAAAUCGGUCAAAACCCAAAAAAAAAAAAAUCUCCAAUAUACACUAUAUAUACUCACCUAUAUACAUAUCAAAUAUGUUAAACAAUAUGUAUACACUAUAUAUAUUGUAUAUACAUCAUUAGAAUUUAAAAAGUAUGAACACUAUUACACAAUUACACAUGUAAUCGUGUAUACGAUUAUACGUUAGUUAAAUAUAUAUACUACUCUAAAUAAAACAUAUACUACAAGAUAUAUACUACAAUAUAAUGAUAUAUAUACUAAUUUAUAAAAUAUAUACACAUAUAUACGUACCAUUCAAUAUAUAUGUAAUACUUUAAAAAAAAUAUACUACAAUAUAUAUACUACAAUAAAUACACCCACUAUAUAAAUAAUAGUUAUAUACUAGUUUAUGAAACAUAUAUGCAUGUAUAAAUUAAAUAUAUACUACUUUAGAGUGUAUAGAAGAUACAUACACAUAUAUAUGUACCAUUCAAUAUAUAUGACCUACUUUAAAUAAAAUAUACUACAAUAUAUAUACUACAUUAUAAUGAUAUAUAUACGAAUUUAUAAAACUUAUACACAUGUAUAUGUUAAAUAUAGACUAUUUUAGAUUCUAUAGAAGAUACAUACACAUAUAUACGUACCAUUCAAUAUAUAUGUAAUACUUUAAAUAAAAUAAAAUACAAUAUAUAUACUACAAUAGACACACACUACAUAUAUAGUUAUAUACUAAUUUUUAAAAUAUAUACACGUGUAUAUGUUAAAUGUAUACUACUUUGGAGUCUAUAGAAGAUAUAUACACAUAUACGUACCAUUCAAUAUAUAUGUACUACUUUAAAUAAAAUAUAAUACAAUAUAUAUACUACAAUAUAAUGAUAUAUACACUAAUUUAUAAAAUAUAUACACAUGUAUACCUUAUAUAUACACUACUUUAGAGUCUAUAGAAGAUAUAUACACAUAUAUACGUACCAUUAAAUAUAUAUAUACUACUUUAAAUAAAAUAUACUAGUAUAUAUAUACUAAAAUAUAUAUACACACUAUAUAUAUAGUUAUGUACUAAUUUAUAAAACAUAUACACGUGUAUACGUUAAAUAUAUACUACUAUAGAGUCUAUAUACACAUAUAUACGUACCAUUCAAUACAUAUGAACUACUUUAAAUAAAACAUAUACUACAAUAUAUAUAUACUAAAAUAUAUACACACACUAUAAAUAUUACUAUUUUAGAGUUAUAGAAGAUAUAUACACAUAUAUACGUACCAUUCAAUAUAUAUGUACUACUUUAAAUAAAAUAUACUACAAUAUAAUGAUAUGUAUACUAAUUUAUAAAACAUAUAAACAUGUACACGUUAAAUAUACACAACUUUAGAGUCUAUAGAAGAUAUAUACACAUAGGUAUGUACCAUUCAAUAUAUAUGUACUACUUUAAAUAAAAUAUACUAUAAUAUAUCUACUACAAUAUAUACACACACUAUAUAUAUAGUCAUAUAAUAAUUUAUAAAACAUAUACACGUGUAUACAUUAAAUAUAUACUACUAUAGAGUCUAUAUACACAUAUAUACGUAUCAUUCAAUAUAUAUGUACUACUUUAAAUAAAAUAUACUAUAAUAUAUCUACUACAAUAUAUACACACACUAUAUAUAUAGUCAUAUAAUAAUUUAUAAAACAUAUACACGUGUAUACAUUAAAUAUAUACUACUAUAGAGUCUAUAUACACAUAUAUACGUAUCAUUCAAUAUAUAUGUACUACUUUAAAUAAAAUAUACUAUAAUAUAUCUACUACAAUAUAUACACACACUAUAUAUAUAGUCAUAUAAUAAUUUAUAAAACAUAUACACGUGUAUACAUUAAAUAUAUACUACUAUAGAGUCUAUAUACACAUACAUACGUACCAUUAAAUAUAUUUGUACUACUUUAAAUAAAAUAUACUACAAUAUAUACACAUACUAUAUAUAUAGUUAUAUAGUAAUUUAUAAAAUAUAUACACGUGUAUACGUUAAAUAUAUACUACUUUAGGUCUAUAGAAGAUAUAUACAUAUAUAUGUACUGCUUUAAAUAAAAUAUAGUACAAUAUAUACACACACUAUAUAUAUAGUUGCAUACUAAUUUAUAAAUUAUAUAUAGGUGCAUACGUUAAAUAUAUACUACUUUAGGUCUAUAGAAGAUAUAUACACAUAUAUAUGUACCAUUCAAUAUAUAUGUACAACUUUAAGUAAAAUAUACUACAUUUAUAAUGUUAUAUAGACUAAUUUAUAAAACAUAUACACAUGUAUACGUUAAAUAUACACUACUUUAGAGUCUAUAGAAGAUAUAUACACAUAUAUACGUACCAUUCAAUAUAUAUGUACUAAUUUAAAUAAAAUAUACUACAAUAUAUACACACACUAUAUAUAUGUUAUAAACUAAUUUAUAAAAUAUAUACAUGUGUAUACAUUAAAUAUGUUCUACUAUAGAGUCUAUAUACACAUAUAUACGUUUCAUUCAAUAUAUAUGUACUAGUUUAAAUAAAACAUAUGCUACAAUAUAUACACACACUACAUAUAUAGUUAUAUACUAAUUUUGAAAACAUAUACACAUGUAUAAGUUAAAUAUAUACUACUAUAGAGUUUAUAUACACAUAUAUACGUACCAUUUAAUCUAUAUGUACUACUUUAAAUAAAAUAUACUACAAUAUAUAUACUAUAAUACAUACACACACUAUAUAUAUAGUUAUAUAAUAAUUUAUAAAUUAUAUACACGUGUAUACGUUAAAUAUAUACUACUUUAGAGUCUAUAGAAGUUAUAUACACAUAUAUACGUACCAUUCAAUAUAUAUGUUCUACUUUAAAUCAUAUAUACUACAAUAUAUUUUCUUCAAUAUAAUGAUAUAUAUACUAAUUUAUAAAACAUAUACACAUGUAUACGUUAAAUAUACACUACUUUAGAGUCUAUAGAAGUUAUAUACACAUAUAUACGUACCAUUCAAUAGAUAUGUAUUACUUUAAAUAAAAUAUACUACAAUAUAUACACACAUACUAUAUAUAGUGAUAUACUAAUUUAUAGAACAUAGGUGUAUACGUUCAAUAUAUACUACUUUAGAUUCUGUAGAAGAUAUAUACACAUAUACACGUACCAUUCAAUAUGUAUGUACUACUUUAAAUAAAAUAUACUAUAAUAUAUAUACUACAAUAUAAUGAUAUAUAUAUACUAAUUUAUAAAACACAUACACAUGUAUACAUUAAAUAUACACUACUUUAGAGUCUAUAUUCUAUAUAUACACAUAUAUACGUGCCAUUCAAUAUAAAUGUACUACUUUAAAUAAAACAUAUACUAUAAUAUAUAUACUAUAAUAUACACACACAUUAUAUAUAUAGUUAUAUAUUAAUUUAUAAAAUAUAUACACAUGUAUACGUUAAAUAUACACUCUUUUAGAGUCUAUAUUCUAUAUAUACACAGAUAUACGUACCAUUCAAUAUAUGUACAGCUAUAAAAAAAAUUCUACAAGGUAUAUACUACAGUAUAAUGAUAUAUAUACUAAUUUAGAAAACAUAUUCACAUGUAUACGUUAAAUAUAUAAUACUUUAGAGUCUAUAGAAAAUAUAUACACAUUUAUAUGUAUCAUUCAAUAUAUGUACUACUUUAAAAUAUGUGCUACUUAAUAUAAUAAAUUAAUAAUACUUGAUAGUAAAUUAGUAAUAUAUUAAAACUGAGUAUUUAAUUUAAAAUCCCGAUUUACAAAAAAAAAGUUGUUAUUCGGGUCGGGCCGGGCAGGUUAACCGGCGGGCCUAGAUCAGUUUUGUUCCGGACUGGGUUAACCGGGCUCAAAAAAGAUUAACUCAGCCCGGUACCCGGUACCCUAUAGUCUAUGGGCUGAUCGGGCUGGAUCAAAUCGGAUCGAAUUUGCUUAGUGGGCCGGGUCAGGUCGGAUUAACCCAGCCCGUUUGAAGCCUUAUCGGUAAGUAAGUAUCUAAACGAUGUGGUUUAAUUACUUAUUUGUUCAUGGAAUGCUGUUAAAGUGUUAGAAAGCAUGUCCAUAUGGACUCCGCUUUGUUGUGUUUGUCAUGUCAUUGUUUGGUUACUUUGUGUAUAGAAUCAUGCUAUGGUAUCUUGUUUAUCUCCGUCUUUGUCGUGUUGUUGCUCUACAGUUCGGGAUUAUUUGAAGAGUCGCCGGGCUUUAAACAUAAUAUGUUAUUCCUUAUAGCUACUAUUUUUCCUUUCUUAUUUUUUUUAUCAUUUGAUUUGUAAUAUUAUUGUAAAGACAUUAUAUUGAUAUAAUAAUAAAUUUUGGGGACUGCUUUGGGGGUAGGAAUUUACGUGCUCUAUGAAUAGUGUAGAUAGGCACAAAUUAGGUUUUUACGUGUGUUACAUGCUACAUGAAUCGCUUACAUACUUUCAUUAAUUAAUUAGCUUAGAAAUCUUGCUAAUACCUUUGAACAAAUUCACAUUGAUUUUGGGCAUGGUAAUAUUUUAGUGCGCUAGCCUACCACAUUAAACUUUUGCAUGUUAAAAACUACAACUUAUCGACGUCACUGCAUGUUUAUGCAUGUUAACACAAUUUAGGCAUAUUAAAACGAAUUUAAGCACGUGAGCAUGUCAAUAAUUAAUUUUUUGCACAUUAGUGGAUUUUUAACAUGUUAAGUAUGAUAUUUUCAUGUUUUCAACAUGUAAAUAAUAUUUAUGUAUGACAAUAUGGUAUGCAUGUUAACAAGUAAUUGUAAGCAUAUUAGUGAACUCUCCAACAUCAUAAAAACUGUCAAAAAAUUGAUUUAAUUAUGACAUUGCAUGUGUUAGCAUAUAGACGCAAAUCUAAGUGUUUACUAUUUUUAUAUCAUGAUAACCUUAAACUCCUGCACAUUAAUAUAUUUUUAGUAUGCUAAAACACCAGAUUUCUGACAUAUUAAUAUAUUUGUAGCAUGUUGAAUAUUAGAAUUAAGCAUGUCAAUGUUAAAAUGGUAGCAUGUUAACAUAAAAAAAAUUCCGAGCAUUAACAUAUUUUUCAGCAUGUCAAAAAUAAUAAAGUUCAUGUAUUUUUCGUAUGCUAAUAUUAAUUUCAGCAUGUUAAAAUAGUGUUUAUGUGUAAAACAAGUAAGUUCAGCAUGUCUACACUCCGUUUCUGCAUAAAACAAGUUAAAAUUUUGCAUUAUUAAAAUUAUGUUUUUGUAUUAUUAUAACUGCAUUUCUGCAUUAUUAAAACUACAUUUCUACAUUAUUUGAAAUUGCGUUUCUGCAUUAUUAUAAUUGUGUUUCUGCAUUAUUAGAAUUGCAUUUUUCAUUACUAAAACUGUGUUUCUGCAUAUUAAUAUUAAUUUCAGCAUGUUAAUAACUGGCAUCAUGUUAAUUUCAGCCCGUUAAUAUCUUCAGUAUGUUAAACAUAAAAUUUUUACAUGUUGAUUCGUCCCCCAUAUUUAAAUGCAUUCUUGUCAUGUUAAUGUAUUUUUAAUAUUUUUGUUAAUUUCUUAUGUACUCAUUAGUUUAUAACACUUAAUUCGUGAGCACAAUUCCUUGACACAUUUACCACACUUUUGACACCUUCUUGUAAACACUUGACAACAUAUUUUUACACACACGAGUCACAGUUCUCUUUUGUCACCAGUUCCUGAAUACUUCGAUACCAUGCCUAUAGGUCAAUGACACAAAAUAAAUAAUUAUUUGUCUUUGCAUGUUAAUCACAUUAUUCAACUCUCUAAUAACCAAGAGGUUAACAUAAGACAUUACUUACUACUUGACGUCCAAUGUGUUACGUGUUUCAAGUCCUAGGCAACAUAACUUUAUUCUUGUCUAGACCCCAAAACCAAUAUAGCAAAGUCUAAUGCCUCUUGGACGAUAGGCGGGACGAUGGGAAUUACUAAAGGCGCUAGUUUUAUCCUUGUCUUAGAAUGCCUUUAGAGUUAACAACCAGCCUAGGUGGGGAGGGACGGGUAGUCGUUAGAAAGUGAUAAUCUCCAACAGACAUUAAAGGUAAGACAUAUGACUUGUCUAAGAGUUCGACCAGUGGGUCGGAUGAUGAUUAAACAAGUUGGGGUUCCGAUCCGAAUGAGACCAAAAAUAUUUCUUUAUUUGAUUUAACGAAUUCUUUUCAUUCUUUUAUUUACCUUACAUGCUUAUUUAUUUAGGGUAGUUAGUUUGUUACGUAAGCAGUCCCCUUUUGUUACAAAUUAUGUCAGUUCUUUCUUCUCGCUUAUCUUAUUAUAUGUUUUUAUCACUUCGAUAAUUAAUAAUUACAAAUAAUAAAAUAAUAUAUUUUUUUCAUUAAUUGUUUUAUCACUUAGUUAAACAUUAAAUCAAUAAUAAAAUAAAAGACCUUAUUUGAUCACAUAGAAUUCCCACGUAAAAUAUGAAUUCGGCCGAAAACCACCUUUGUGGAUCCUCAAAGAGUGCAUAACACCUUUAUUUUGAGGUAAUUUGAACCCUUACCCUAACUCUGGUGAACUAAGACAAAACAAUAAAAUAAGUUUCUAGCUAGUCUAGACCGGUGCCCUAACACACCUUUAAUUCAUUAGGUGGCGACUCUUCACACUCUACCUUCAAAACAAUCCCAAAAAAGAGUCGUCACGUCGAAUCCCGCUUUUCGCAAAAAAAAUGGGGUGCGACAGAAUGGCAACUCUUCUAGGGAUCUUAGGUUCUAACCAAUACGAGUUUGUAUUUUAUGUGGGAUUCCUUCACAUUCUUUGUUUUAUUUUUCGUAAUUGCUUUCUCUCUUAUUGUUUAUAUCAUGAUUUAUUGUUAUAUAUUCUCUUNNNNNNNNNNNNNNNNNNNNNNNNNNNNNNNNNNNNNNNUCUCUUCCCCUUUUCCCCUUUUUAUUGCUUAUGUAUUAUCAUGUUCACUUAUGUGUAUAUUUCUUAGCAUGUUAAUUUUAUUAUAUGCUACAUAUUACCGCUUUAUAUAACUGGCAUCCCGCUCAUACUUUCCUCCACUUGGAACCUCUUUUGUUUUUUUAUCGAUGGUUGCGUGGUAGAAAAAACGUUCUUUCCUAAAACACCCUUCGAAAAAUGUCUUAUGGAUUGGUCGAUCAGCGGUGCAUUGACAGCCACAAUCUUUCCCACUCUCGAGUUGUCCAUUCGAGGGAACCAUGUCAUAAACCCACUCUUGCCCUUUAGGUACUGACUACAUAUUUCUUUUAUUAAGGAAUAUGUGUCCCGUUCAACACAGGAUGUCAUGGCAUUCUUGAUGCGUUGAAUGUUAGUCUCAUUCAAAGUCCAAAAAGGUUCACGACCUCAAAGGGACUCACAAUUAUUUGCUAUGUGUUGCAUUUCUACAUAUGUUUGAUAUUUUACCUAUCUUGUUAUUUUCCUUCUUGUCUUAGUCACUCUUUACAUUUAGUGUUCCUCACCUUAGAACUCUUUACUCUUAACAUUAUUGCCAUGUUAGGACCCUACAAUAUACUCUUAGGGCCUAUUCUAUACUUACCUUCAAUUUAUCCUCCUGACUCAUCCGGUAGUAUUUUAAUCAUCUCUAGGCUCAGUUCUUGCUUUGAUAAAGGGGUUUAGGCUUAUUCAUAAUCUUGUAGUACAACUUAUCAUUUUAGGAUAUUCUCUUUCAACGUUUACAUACUAUUAUCCUACCACGAUUCUUGAACAUCAUUGUACUCAUAUCGUACUCUAGCUUUCAUAAUCUCUAAGUUACAUAGAGCUCUCAUAACUUCUAUUCACUCUGAACAAACAUAACUCAUCAUUUUCAAAUGAGUAGAAUAUUUAUUCUAGACUCCCGCGCGUGCUCUUUGUUCCAAAUUAUAAAUCCUUUCUUCUAAGGUUGACUAAAGUUUAACAUCACUACGUUGACCUGAUUUCCCUCUAUCAGGGAUACGAAGGCGCUCAUUUAAUGAGUUCGGUCUCACUAUAAUUAAAUCUUCUUUUCCCCAUUUUGUCCUUUUCUAUAGGAAGUUGGAUGAAUCAACAAUGUUCAACAAAAAUCAACCUUAGUCAUUUCCUUUCUUUCUUAUCUUCUUUACAAUCACAAUUGCAAAAUCGAUAUCAUAUCCUGUCACUGUCCUGUUUCAUGCGUCAGGAGCUUAAAUCUUUACGCCUAUAUCACUUAUUAAAUCUUAGUCUUCAUCCUUGAAUACCUUUUAUUUUAUAUUUAUUAUGUUUUGAACUUAUGUGUUAGGUGGUAAUUUUUAUGUGCCUUACAUAUCUUAUUUUAAGGUUGUCUAGCAUUUGAACAUCAAACUCAAGUGACAAUCUGCGACAUGACAAUUAUGCUCAAUAUCUGAAAAGUUGUCAGUUCUCCUUCUCAUCGCCUAAAUCAAAACACUAUGACUCCUUAUCCUCGCCUUACCCACACCCCUUCUCGGUAAUUAUCUUUUACACAUGACACUUCUGAAAGCAAAAGGAUCAAAUCGGAUGAACGUUGGCGAAGUCUUUGUGACUUAGAAAGAAGGAUGAAUGAGGAACUGCGUUCUAGGGGUAUCUAUGACUUAAGGUAUGAGAAAUUAUGUAUACAUCCGUGGAUUGAUUUACCUCCAGGAUACAAUGUCCCCAAAUUCAACACAUUCAAUGGGCAUGGAGAUCCAAUCACACAUCUAAAGGGCUAUUGUGGCAAACUAAUUGGCAUAGGGCAUAAUGAGCCUCUCUUUAUGAGAUUGUUUAUUCAGAGUUUGUCAAGAAUGACACUCACAUGGUUCGCCCAACAAAACUUCGACAAAUAGCAUAAUUGGGAAGAAUUUCCUCAAGAUUUUGUGAGGCAAUACAAGUUUAACAUCAAUACCGGUCUGACAAUACGAGAAUUACAUUAGAUGAAGAAAGCGACCCAUGAAUAUUUUGAGGAAUAUGCAACUCGAUGGAGGUUAGAGGCUUCCAAAAUACGUCCUUCUAUACCUGAGGAGAAACUGAUCCAAAUUUUCCUCAAGACACUAGACGGAAUAUACUUUCAGAAAAUAUUCUUCCUGGUCAAUCACAACUUUGAGAGUCUAAUUUCGAUUGGAAAGAAAUUAGAAUAUGAAACGAAGAAUCCACCCAAGGAAGAGAAAGAGGAUUCUUCACCUUCCAUACCUCAAGCACGAGGUUAUCGAUAUAAUGAGAUCCACGCUGAUUUUAGUCCUCGAAACAAGGCUUGUUAGAUCCACUCCUACUCUGUCCAACAAGAUCCAAGACGUUAACAAAAGAAACAUAAAGCGAAUCACAUGAAUUGACGUUCUUGUUUCACGUCACUAUUUUACCCACCGUACGACUAGCAAUAAUUUCCAGUUUUCUCUAUAUUUCUUGGUACUCUUGAACUACGUUCGACCUCACUUCCAUUUGGAUACAUAGGCAUCCCACUCUGGGUCCGAUCUUAAUCUGAUAAAAUAUUUUCUUUCACCAUUUUCUUUCAAUUCUUACAAUUCCAAAGCGACAGGCUAAUAGACCCAACUCUUUAGCGUAUAAAGGCAGAUUACAACUGAAGUUACAAUAUUCAAAUGUAGGAAAAUCAUUUAUCUCGGACUAAUUGUUUCUUUGAGUGGUACAGAAAUAUAAGACUUUGAAGACAAAAAUUAGGGCAGAAAUUUUUUAGAGUUCCUCAAAAAUUUCAUGAUUAAACAAUAUAUCAAUUCACUAAUGACGUGUAAAAGUCACCUUUCAUUCUAAACUGGGGAAAUUUUUUUUGAGAAUUCCUCAAAAAUUUCAUGAGUAAAAAAUCUAUUCACAAUGACGUACGAAGAUGCUUUACAAACUAGGGCGGAAAUUUUUAGAAUCUCUCAAAAAUUUCAUCACGAUGGAGUACAAAUCCCAACUGUUCAUGGAGUAGAAAAAAAUGACUAAGGAGUCGACUCGAGCAUGGUACCAAUCCAUAUUUCUUUUUGACUGACAACUUUUUCUUUGAGUACCGGAUUAACAGGUACAGAUGACAACAAUCAUCACGAAAGGCCCAAAUGACUAAUCCGACAUCAUGAUGAGAGACUUCAUAAUUGAUCCAACAAUGCGAUAGGUACGCUUUCUCUCUUCUUAUCAUUAUUGUUAUGGUUGUUUUCACUACAUUGUUCAAUCUUCUAUACAUAUACAUAUAUCCGCGCUAACCAUUUUAUCCAGUUGAGCUAAAAAUAGAAGAACUAACAGGUACAGAUCACGUUCCCAUGAUGAGAAGCUAGACAGCUAAUCACAUGAUUUCAUAAUGCAUCGAGAAUUCCAAAAGCUGAUCCCACGAUGAGAAGCCAAACAACUCAUCGCACGAUUCCACAAUGCAUCGAGAAGCCAAAUAGUUGAUCCAAUGAUACAUCAAGAGGUUCAAUAUCCUAUCCAACGUCAUAUCAAGAAGCCAGACAGUUGAUCCAAUGAUACAUUGAGAGGUUCAACAUCUGAUCCAACGUCAUAUCGAGAAGCCAAACUGUUGAUCCAACAAUACAUCAAAAGGUUCAACAGUCGAUCCAACGUCAUAUUGAGAAGCCAAACAGCUGAUCCAAUGAUACAUUGAGAGGUUCAAAAUCCGAUCCAAUGUUAUAUCAAGAAUCCAAAUAGCUAAUCUAACGAUACAUCGAGAGGUUCAACAUCUGAUUCAAUGUUAUAUCAAGAAGCCAAACAGCUGAUCCAAUGAUACAUUGAGUGGUUCAACAUUUGAUCCAACGUCAUAUCGAGAAUCCAAACAGCUGAUCCAACAUCACAUCAAGAAGUCAAACAGCUAAUUCAACGAUACAACAGAUACGCUUUCUUUAUUUCCAUAUGUCAUUUAGUACGAUGUAAAGACGCAAGUAACGGAGGAGGAAUAAUAAAUAGGGAUAAUUUUCAUUUCUAUUUUUGGAGUAUUACCCCAUCUAUGCAUCAUCGCCUAAACUAAUCUUAAAACUCACUAUUCCAAAUCCCAUUCAAUUUCAUCCCAGCUUAUUGACCCACAAUAUCACUUUUGAUGCUCCAUCCUUUAUCGAUGACAUUCUUUAGGAAUAUUGUCCAUUCCUUAAUCUAGAACUACAAAUGGUCUGAUUCUCGUGAAACAAGAGAUAUGUAGGAGGCUUAAAAUCGAAGCCUCGACCACAUUAUUUUUAAAACCACCUUCCAUCGUUUUAACUCCAACGAAUCUUUCUCAAUCAGACAAAAUUGGCUACUGCAUCAACUUUCGUUGCUUGAUAAUUCUUUUAUCAUUCUCAAGCAAUGAAGGGGCAGCUGUUGACACCCAAUGUUGACCCCCGAUACCACUUUUGGGCUGCUAUUUUUAUCAAAAUUAUUUAAUUUUAAUUAUUGAUAUUUUUACACAUUAUUCUUAUAUUAAAUACAUAUUUACGUGUCACAUUCAGAAUUUAAAAAAAAUACAUAAAUUAUUUUAUUAUCUUUUAGUAUCAUUUUUAUAAUUUUUAAACUCAAGUACGACGUUUUAUGUAGUUUUAUUAAUAUUUAUUAAAUUAUUAUUUUUUUCACGUAAUUGUGCACACUCAUAUUUUGCAAAUACAUUGUCUAGUGUUGCAUUAUUUACUAUUAUUAUUAUUAUUAUUAUUAUUAUUAUUAUUAUUAUUAUUAUUAUUAUUAUUAUUAUUAUUAUUAUUAUUAUUAUUAUUAUUAUUAUUAUUAUUAUUAUUAUUAUUAUUAUUAUUAUUAUUAUUAUUAUUAUUAUUAUUAUUUAUUAUUAUUAUCUAUUAUUAUUAUAUAUUACCAUUAUUUAUUAUUAUUAUUAUUAUUAUUAUUAUUAUAAUUAUAACAACCUAAUUUGAACUCACUCUCUAAAUUUAUUUACCUUUUAACUCAAUUUUAUUCAAUUUCUUAUAAUCUUAGCCUAUUCUAUUUAAUCCAUUACAAUCAUAGCCACUUCAUGAUUCAAUUUUUAAAUUUUAGUCAAAUGCUAGUCAAAUUCUCAACCAUAAGAUCUGAACCAUCGAUCAAAAACUGAUCUGACGACUGAGAUCAAAGAAACCUAUUCUUUUCUUUUAAACCAAAACUUCUCAAACUCUAACCCUAUUUCCAAUUCAUCCGCCUCCCCACCCUCUCUCUCUAUCUAUCUGUUUUCCCCUCUCUCUAGAAUAAAACCGUUGCCCUUCCAUUGUUUUCCCACUCCGAUGGACGGCUGUUGCCGCCGCCCCACCACUUUUCUUCCUCCUCUCUUCCCUCCAUCUCCCAGCCACCGGCGAUUAGUGCUGCCACCAUCACACCGCUGUCAUCGCCCUUCACUUUCAUCACCGCCUCCGUGUCACCAACCGCCAUGCAAUGCCGCCGGACGCCGACCAACUCACCUCUUUCUCCAUGUUGUCACUCGUAUCCUUUCCUAGCGCCACCAACAAUGACAACAAUAUCACCAGCCGAGGACACCGGUCAACAACUAAGGAAACCCGUCGCCCCCCGUUCUCCGCAUCUCUACCACCGAUCAGCCCCAAAACCCUUCUUCCGUCGCCACUUCACGACCAUGCAGUCACAAUUUUAUACUAUUUUGUCUCACUAUUGAUCAUGAUCGGUGAGGUAUCGAUUGGCAAACCCUCUGACUAUAUUUGAUCGAUAGACACCAUCACACGUUCUGUCCAUUUUAAUUUCAUAUUAGUCUUUGUUAAAUCUUACACUCCGUGGUCUGAAAUCAACUAACUCGGCUGAUGUUAUUGAUUUUUGUAAUUCGGGUUUAUUAGAUCUCACAUGCAUGAAGUUGGUGAUACUUAACUAGGUUACUGGUUGUUUUUCUAUCUCUUGAAAUCACUAUAUUCUAUUUGAUUCAUUUGACAUUAAUAAACUGCACACCUAGUUUUUGCGGCAAAUGAUUAACCUUGUUUUUAUUACUCUGGACCAAAGAUUAUGGAACUGAUGGCACAUGUAAUUUGGAUGACUUGAUGAUUUGAAUUGAUUGGAUGCAUAAUCAACGUUAGUGAUUAAGGAACAUGCUUAUAUGAUUAGUUGUCUUUCUAUUUUUAUUUUAUUUUAUUUUAUUCUUUUACGGUAAUAAGCAGUCCUUUCUAACAACAUCAACAUUUUUCAUAUGCCUAUUUGUGGUAAGCACAUAAUUGGUGUGCCCGAUUGAAAUAUAAUUGAUUUACUUAAUGGAUGUUUUCCUUUUAUUUGCUUUGAGUAAAUUUGUUAUUAUAUAAGUGUGAUUUUAUAUUUAUGGAAAACUCCAUUGAUUGGCUUCAUCAAAUAUUCUCCUCUUCCUUAAUUAAUUCUGAUUGAUUUUUUGAAUAUCUUUAUCCUUUUCUGUUGCUACUAAUUAACACUCAUGUAUUUUCUUUCCUUUCAUUCCCCAGUACCCCUCUGCUAUAUAAACAAUCCUUCUUUUCAAAUUAAGAGACAGUUCUUGAAAAAUAAAACACUCCCUAUAAGAAAAUCACUAGCUAUUUUGAUUACAUAUUCUUAAAAGUCCUUUGAUUUUCUUGAAGGCUUACUGGAAUCUAAGCAUAUUAUUCUUACAAGUGCUUGUCUUCAUUAUUUUUAUUAUUUCUUUUAUUACUGCUUAUCGGUAAGUAUCUAAACGAUGUGGUUUAAUUACUUAUUUGUUCAUGGAAUGUUGUUAACGUGUUAGAAAGCACGUUCAUAGGGACUCCGCUUUGUUGUGUUUGUCAUGUCAUUGUUUGGUCACUAUGUGUAUGGAAUCAUGCUAUGAUAUCUUAGUUGUCUCCCCUUUGCCGUGUUGUUUCUCUACAGGUCGGGAUUAUUUGAAGAGUCGUCGGGUGUUAAACAUAAUAUGUUAUUUCUUAUAGCUGCUGUUUUCCUUUCUUAUUUUUUUUAUCAUUUGAUUUGUAACAUUAUUGUAAAGACGUUAUAUUGAUGUAAUAAUAAAUUUUGGGGACUGCUUCGGGAGGCAGAGGUUUACAUGCUCUAUGAAUAGUGUA
rnacentral:lncRNA from 1 species